rnacentral:tRNA from 1 species
UUGGUGAUUCAGUGGUAGAAUUCUUACCUUCCAUGUCAGAGACCAGGUUAGAUUCCUGGCCAA